rnacentral:rRNA from 1 species
AGCGAACGCUGGCGGUAGGCCUAACACAUGCAAGUCGAACGGCAGCACAGUAAGAGCUUGCUCUUACGGGUGGCGAGUGGCGGACGGGUGAGGAAUACAUCGGAAUCUACUUUUUCGUGGGGGAUAACGUAGGGAAACUUACGCUAAUACCGCAUACGACCUACGGGUGAAAGCAGGGGAUCUUCGGACCUUGCGCGAUUGAAUGAGCCGAUGUCGGAUUAGCUAGUUGGCGGGGUAGAGGCCCACCAAGGCGACGAUCCGUAGCUGGUCUGAGAGGGUGAUCAGCCACACUGGAACUGAGACACGGUCCAGACUCCUACGGGAGGCAGCAGUGGGGAAUAUUGGACAAUGGGCGCAAGCCUGAUCCAGCCAUACCGCGUGGGUGAAGAAGGCCUUCGGGUUGUAAAGCCCUUUUGUUGGGAAAGAAAAGCAGCAGGUUAAUACCCCGCUGUUCUGACGGUACCCAAAGAAUAAGCACCGGCUAACUUCGUG